CUUCUAACGUCCUAAAAAAAUAAAAUGACAUUUCCAAAAUGAUGCCAACAUAAAGAAUGAGCAAUAGAAAUCAUACUCACAAGUUGCUGGUACAAAACCUUUUGUUUCUUUUUAUUUCUUUAAUUCAUUCCAGUAUAAAAUGGUACAUCAUGAGGGACGCU